GCUGGGAGGAGAGCACUUGCUGUAUCCUGGAGUUUGGGAGAACACCUUUCCUUUGGGGAAUGGAUCAAACCCCUGAGAUUCGGAGAGCCUCCUCGGUCUGGGGACUGGUUCCGAGCUGGCUGGUCAGAGCCCAUGAAUGGUGCACAUUAGGAGCUAAAAAUAAAUGGAAUCAGCUGGCCUAAGGAAACAGAAAUUUUCCCCGGCCUGUUGGCAACCUAAAGGAUUUUCGCACCCGAAGCCGUAUUACAGUGAAUCAGCAUCAUAACUGGAAAUGGCAGCUUUGACCAAGAGCUUGUCUGUCACUGGGCAAAAUUCUCAAAUGAAAAUGUUUCUGAAGCUGAAGGUGGGACAUUAGGUCAACCUGUUAAAAAAUAUCAUGGAAUAAUGUGCUGCACAUCAUCACCAUGAUGAUGAAGGUAAUGCACAGGAAUAUUAUCAGAUAAAAUGUGAAACUAAGACAAGCAUGGUAGAGAACCAAAAAAAUUUUUAAAAGGUGUUUUUUCAGAGGGUCUUGAAGGAGGGUAAAAAGAUUUAGGGAGUUAGUUCCAGAGUUUCAGGACUUGGCAUCUGAUGGUGCAGCCACAGAUAAUUAAGCAAUUAAAGAUGAGAGAUAUACAAAAGGUCUAACCUGAGGAUCAGGGAUAUCCCAAACCAUUGUAGGAAGUCAUAGAUAGAUGUGGGGGAUGACAAUUUAAAUGCAGGGAUGCGAAUAUGAUAAUGGAGAAGCCAUUUAAUCAGUAUAGGUCAGUGAGCACAGGGAUGAUUGAUGCACAGAUUUUGAGUGAGUUUGCUCACAGGCAGAGUUUUGGAUGCAUUCUAGUGAGGGUGGAGAAUGGGAGUAUGCAGAAUAGUCAGUCCCUUAGGGUCUCAGCAGGUGAGCUGAAGCCUGGAUAAUUGGGUAAUUCAUCGAGGUGAAAUUAGGAAGUCUUACUUCUCAGGGUUCAAUUUGCAACACUGCUUGCAAACAAUGUGACUCAGUCUCUAAGAGACCAAAAGGUUCAAAGCAAAAAGACCUACUUAUUAAAAAAAAAUUCAAAAUUGCACAAGAUUUUAUUUUUGGACCUUAACCAAAAGCCCUCAUGCCAUUCACCAAGGGCACCACAGA